CUAUAAUUGCAUUGUUUUUACAAUAGAAACUUGUUUAUGGCUGUAUUUUUCCAGGUUUAGUGCUGAUAAAAUCUGAUAAAACUUUCUGAAUUUCAAGAUCAGAUCUACACCACCUGGAAUCUUGUUUAUGAAAAGGAAAGUAUUUUCCUACCUCUUCCCGUGCAGCUGAGUAAUUACUUUAAGUCUGAUGUCUUUGUGUUAAAUGGCAUUGCUUCAAACUCUGUGCAUGUCAAACAGAAGAAAGCUGGGAGAGUUUGAAAGGUUAUCAUCGUUUCUCUUAGAAUUCCUGUGUACUGAAACCCUUCAGAGAUGGCUGCCUACUGCAAGUCGCUGUUUGACAGCUUCACUCAACUUCAAGGCUCGUCAAUUCACAGGGCAAUCUGACAGCUCUCAGGCAAUAAAGUAAACAAGGGAUUUGGAGCAUCAGAGAAGGAAUGCUUAAAAUUAUUCCUAAUAUUUCUCCUAUUCAUAACAUGUCACCGAGCUUGUGAAAUUAUGAAGUCAGAAAGUCUCAGCUUCUUAUGCAUCCCAGCUGGUGUUCACAGGGUGAGUGAAGGCUUUGCGGAACACUGGCAACUGGUUUCCACGAGGUAUCAUCCAGAUUCAUUCCAAUGACUUUAUUCCCAGUAAUAAUGAGAGGCAUUGUUCUGAUGACUGGGGUUCCAGGUACUUUCUGUGUUAGUUUCACUUGGAGGGCAAUUCAGCUUUGGUGGAAACAGUGCAGUUGUACUUUAAGACCGAAUAUGACCACACUGUGGGUUUUCUGUGUAAUAAUGUCGUUAAAGGAUCCUUCUCUCAAAGGAGGCAGGAAGCCUGCAGAGCAGACACUUUGGUUGCACAAACACUCUCAUGCAGAACUCCAGCGGUGCAGGAACCUGCUGAGGGCUAAUCGCUGCGUGAACCCAACCACUUCAGUACCUGUUUAUGGGCUCACAACAUAUCUGCACAAGAACCAACAGGUUGAGAUAGUUUUUCUCCACUGCGUUCCAUGCAGUUGUUCUGGAAAGGAAUAGCAAAGCUGUGCAAGGCUUCACGAUGAACAAACUUCUUCCUGUAAAGGCAAGACCCUGCCAAAAUAAAUAGGGACUGCAGCAAAUGGUACAGAUGGUCAUUUCUUUCAAGUGCGUGUGUAUGUUUUAUGUAUUAUGAAUAUACAUGCAUAGAGUAUAUACGUAUGUUCAUGCAUUUAUAUGAAUUCAUGUACAUAAUAUUAUUUAAAAUAUAAGUCCUGGAGACUGUGUAAUCAGUGCAAGCAUUCCAGGAAACUGCACUCAGCCCGUCCACAGAUUUUUAUUGUAGGAUCUAGAGAUGAAAACUAACGUGCUGGGAUACAAAAGCUUAUUUCUUAAUAAUGAUAAAGUUACUGAAAGCAAUGCAAGCUAUUGAUGCCUGAAGCAGCCAGAUGAAAAUAGCACGGUCUAGUGAUUAGAAGGUUUUAAUAGGAAAUAAUAGUUUUCUUGUCACCAGGCUACAUUGGCAGAAUGAGUGCAGCAGCUGGAACGCAUAUGCAGAGUGUUUACUAGAGCAACUCUUACACUUUCAGACAGAAGGAAAUCCUGUGUAGGAUUGGAAAGUGCAGAGAGUUGUCACUAGGGAAUAGGCUGUCUGUGUGUCUCCAUGAAAUAAAAGCUGUGCGGACCACAGACCCUGCAGUGGGCACUUCCUGCCCCAUUUUCUGCAGCGGUUCAAGAUUGCUUUUCCUUUUUUCUUUUUCUUUUUUUUUCUUUUUAUACUGGAAGAUAUCAAAUCUAGCAGUAUUAUCAAUAGAAAUGCCGAGGAAGCUCAGGAUUUACUUUGUAUCAAACUUCAAAAAUCUUAUUAAGGGCUUUUUUUGUUGUUGUUGUUGCUAUAUAUUUUUCUUCAGCAAAAGUAAAACCUGGAAAUGUUGCCAUCGCUCAGGUCAUAUAGAUUGAUCUUUCUAGACUAAUAAGACAUCUGAUAUUAUUUGAAGUUGGGCUGGGUGCUUUUUUUCCAAAUCUGUGUAGGUUUCUAACUUCUGUGAAUGCAUUUAGAGGAGCAGCACACCGCAGCAAAUGGAAGUGGCCAGCACAAGGGGCAUCUGAUUGUUUGCCGAUGUGAUAGCAAUGGCUGGUAUUUACUAAUGAAUACGAAAACACUUUCAUUAUCCAAAUAAGUUAAAAAAUCUUAAAUUAAUGAUGUGUUUAUGUGACAGAUUUGUGGGAGGGAUUUCAAAUAUAAUCACCAUCAAUCUGACUGCAGCCAAAAUAAAUUUUAUGAAAAGUAAAACAAACUGUUGCACAGACAAAGUAGGCCUUCGGGGGCUCGUGCAAUAAUCUGUGUUUUCUUAUUUAGCUGUGUAUAAUAUUUCUGUUCAUUUCUCAUCCAGAUAGAAUCUCAGUGUAUAUAACAUUGCUGUUAAAGCCUGGGAGAGUCAACAUACGCCACUUGUCAUGGAGGGAAAAAAGAAAUGAAAGAAGGAAACGCAUAUUUAAUUUAUUUUUUUUCAAAUAAACAAGCCAUGUCCAGGUAACCAUGUGAGGCACGGAACAAUUGCAAAGGUUAGCAUUAAACAUAAGAGCUUUAAUUCCAAAAUGGUGACUUUUCACAGAAAUAUGUGACCGCAUUGAGGUGUACAUUCUGAAAACCCAGAUGCUGCUGUCACUACCAAUAAAACUGUUACAAACUUCCAACUUUUGGUGAAGUUAUUGCAUAUGCUCUUUCCUUUACUGAAUGGAAAUGUCAAAUAUAAUCAGAGGUAAAAGGAAGGUUGGGCCCUGCUUUCAGGAGCAUGUAAGCAGCGCUUGGGCAGGAGCAAAGCAGUGCUUGGGCAGGAGCAAAGUAGUCCACUUAGCCGUGGUGAGUUUGGGCACUGGUGUAUGCUGGGAAUGCUUCUGUAGGCUGAGGCGAUGGUGACUACUGAUCAGAGCAGCUGGCUUCCAACAGACCUAUUCCAUUAAUUGGUAACAUGGACAAGGAAAGUCCCACAUUUCUACUCGGUGUUACAGUAAAAAUACAAGGAUAAUUUUUAAUUGCUUUCUUGACAUGCUUGUUCAGCAAGCAUGUUUUAACGAUUCUUUUGCCUUUGAAAAUACUUUUGAGUUUAGGUGUAGGCACAUCACAAUAUUUCAUUCACAAGUUCAAGGGUACUACAUACAGCUGCCAAAAAAUCUGCUUUUGUAUCAUUGUCCAGCUUCCCUACUCUCAUUAUUGGUUUCUAGUUAGUGCACUGGGAAUAUGUGGCUGUCAUUCAAAUAGAUGAAAAUCUUUGGCAUUGAAAAUAUAUGCAGUGGUGUCUGUUUUUUAAAGGAAAUAUGCCCCUUCUUACCAUUGCUUGGUUUCUUGAUCAGAUAAAACCUAUCUUGUGCUAACGUUUAAAUAAAAUGCACUGCAUUCUGACCCAACAAUAACAAAAUCAAAUCCACUCAUUGCAAAGUUUCAUAAGCUCUUAAAAUAUAUUCAGACAGUGUGAUGAUAUUAAUAGGGAGGCAGAUAUCAGGUUUCAGCCGACAAAGCAAACCACACAGUGGAAAAUGAGAAGUGCUGUGCUUACUGACUUCAGAAUAAAAUGGAAGACAAAAGCCCCAUCAGAAAUUAUAUCUAUAGUCUAACGCCAUACAUUUAUACAGGGAAUUGUACUGAAAUAUCUCAAAGAUGUUUCACAGAGAGAGACAUUUUUAUCUUAUCUCCACAUCUAGGUGGUUGAGGUAAAAAGGCUUAGCAAUUUUGACUCAGAUUUCAGAAAAAGCAUUUUCCAAGGUAUGUCUCAACUAAGGCUCCGUAAGAAAUUAGGUAAUAUCCCAAUAGUUGCCAGUUUGUAGGGCUAUGAUAUGAUUUUCUCCAGAGGGGAUGCAUGAUUCUUUCCGGAUCUCAGUAAGAAAGGCAUACAACUACAAAUAAUGUAAUCAAAUUGCUUUAAAGAUUAUAAAAAUAGGAAGGAAAGUGUAGGUAGAGGGUAAAUUUUAUGAUUGUUCAGAUGCUGGGAACCCUGCUUGCAUGCAACAUAAGACAGAGCCCAGGUGGACAGCCACAGCACUGUCUGCAGUGAGGUUCAGUCUCUCUCCCAAAUCAUGGAGUCUUUUAUUUAGUAUAACAAACAAAACAGUAUUGCCUGUCUGAUAGACAGUAGUGUUCUUUUUCUCCCUGUCCACCAGAGCACAUGCAGCAGCUGGUACCCAGGAGCUACAUCCAGGAACAGUACUUGUUCAGGCUCUUCCAGCAUAUUGUCUGACACUACCACAUGUGUAGGACUGUACAGUGAGACUUCCAAUUGAGAAGGAAAACUCCUUAAUAUAGAACUGUUAAAAAGGCUUUUCACUAAUACAGUGGGUUUUAAUUUUCUCUGCCUGAUGAUGAUCAGCAGAUGUUUUGCAUACCCAUCUUCAUUUGUGUGAGGAAUACCUGGUGUUUUAUUAAAUGAAGAUUGUCAGUAUGUGAGCAGAGAAACUCCUAACAGAAGGCAAACCAGUCUUUAUUUCUGUGUUAAAUUUGAGAGUUUACAUAGUAGUAUGUAUUACAGACAUCCAGAAAUGCCUGCUUGCUAUAGUCUCUGUUUUAGGAUUUUUAAUAAUUAUUAUAUUUUAAACUUACUUACAAAGGCUUGAGUACUGAUACAUUCACUAUAAUUGCAUGUCCAUGGUAGGUCUUGUGCUAACUCAUGGAAAUAGUGGAAUAAGAACCACGGACAGCUUAAAUACUAAGGAAUGUUUGAUUCAGCUUGGAUAGCAUAGAUGACAUUGGUACAGGGAGUGAUUUAUAUACCAGUUCAUUUAUUAGUGAAUUCUUUGUGCAAAAGCCAAAAUAUUUCUUAAAGUGUUUAAGCUCAUUUAGCUCUUGGCUUCUGCGGGUAAUCAAAAUGUUGUCUUCAGCUGCUUUGUUGAAAAACUAGGAAGAAGUUGUUCAUGGGAGUGUCUAGAAUCCAGUAAAGGUUAUAAAACCCGGAUGCCCAAAUUUAUCACAGAAAUAGACUCUGAAACAAAUUUCACUCUUGGCAUUGCUGUGCACCUGUGACCCCAUGAAGGAAGAAGUUAGCAAACUGUGUAGGCAAGUUGUCCUUGUUUCUUGAAUUCUUUCUGUUAAUGGGCUUAAGUGCUGCUGCUACUAUAUAAACAGGAAUUGAAACACAGGUUGUCUAAAUGCAUUGCGUUUGAAAAAUUGAUUGAAUUUGGUUCACUGUCAGUGAUUGACUGCUUGAUAUUGAACAACUGUGCACAGUUGAACCAUGGAUUUUCUUGUGAGCUAUACCAGGUUGCACUGUAUAAUGUUAUUUUGUUAAUGCAGAGAUUCAUUAUUUGUAUACAUACUCUUUUUUUGAUGCAGUAGAAUACAGUAAGUACUGCUGAUGGGUUGCAACUUUCACAUCAUCUCUGCCUCUAACCAGAAUUGUCUCUACAACACUGUGUACUGCACCACAGAGGCAAAGCAAUUGGUCUGACAUGGUUGGGGCUGACAUUCUGGAUGAGAGAUUUUUGUGCCCACAAAUGGUUGAUGCUCUCUCUCUUAUCAGAUGCUAAGGAAAAUGCAUCUACAGGUGUCCAAAGGUUCAUCAGCCGAUGAUAAUUAUAUGGGCUUCAUCAGAUUGACUGAGCAGUCAUUGCAUGCCUUAGCAAGUUGUUAGUGGCACAGAGUGCUCUGGACUGUUAAUCUCUGGUUAACACAAAGCAGUGUCCUUGCCAUUUUCUGCCCAUUGAUGCUUCAGGUUUCCUAAAUUGUUAACAUGUUUGUAUUUCAACACGUGCCCAGGAAUAAGCAAACAGAGUGCUAACUUCUACAUCAGAUCCCUUAUUCUUCCAUGCACCCUUGUUGGUGAAAGGAAUAAAAGAGAACUUUCUCCUAUAUAUUUCUGCAAUCAAUGUUUCUUCAGCAUUCUCUUUUUCUGUUUAACCAUGGGGGGAAUUCUUCUGUCUAUUGGUACUACCUGUGGCUGAAUUAACUUUGGAAGAGCCUGUGUUCAGCACAGAGGAUGCUCUGAGGAUAUUGGGUUUAGGUGAUCUCAGUGUUAUGCUAAGAUAACCACAUUCUGCCAGCGUACUGAUUCUGUCCCCACCAGAUGGGCUGGAUAUCUUCUGUUCUUUCCUCUUUGCCUGGUUUACUGAGGCACUUAACUUGCAUGAAGUUUUAUUCUUUACCUCCUCUCUACUUUGCUCCCUCUGGGUAACUCUUCCUUUAUGCUAUAUUCACCAUUAUUUCUUUUUCUGACUUACAGAACAGUGGGGUUUAUGAUUGUUUCACAUAAGCUGGCCAAAACUUUGAUGCUGGUUGAGUAAUCUUUAAUUUGGGUAAUCUGUAUGCUCUAAGGGUUUUUGAGACAGUAAUGAGCCUUCAGUAUUUAUAGAUUACUCGUGCUAGCUAUAGACCAUGUUAAUAAAAUUCAAGAAAAGACAACCUGAGAUCUAUGGAGAUACAGUCUGCAGAAGUUUACAGCUGAGAAAUACUGGUUUAAAAACGACAAGAACAGUGACUUACUGUAAGUGAAUGAAACAGAUAUUUGAAGUUCCAACUCCAGGGAAACAAAACAAAAGUAACUACCACCCCAUGGACCCUCUCUCUGAUGGGAGCAAAGGCACUGGUAACUCACUGUAGCACACUGAUUUCCAUUUCUGAAAAUUAUGUAUGUAGUAUUUUGCCUCCAAAAAACAAACAAAAAAACAAACAAACAAACAAAAAACCCUAACAGGUAUAGCAUAUUUUAAAAAUCUCUAGAUUAUAGAAAUUCAUUUCUUAACUACAUAGUGACAAUAACAAUUGGUGCGUACAACAUUCAGUGUACUGUAUAAGCUUCAGCUGACAUUCCCCAUUUCUAUGCCUUUUUCACAGCUAUCCUGUGUAAAGACAAGCAUAUACAUUCUCGUUGGAGUUUUUGUGUCGAUAGAUACUUACACAGAGAAGCCAUCUUUGGGAGAUCCAUCACAGUGGAAGACUGCCUAAAGGAAACAGCCAGUACUGUUCAUCCUCAAGAAGCCACAAGACUGAUGUAAGAAAAUAAGAAUGGGAAAACACAUUAACUAACAGGUGAAGGAAGAACUUGGUUAAUAUUUUAUUUAACUGAGGUGAGUUACAGUUAUACAGUUUAUAUACAGUGAGGCUAAGCAUUAGUGAGCUUUUACGUAUAUACUUUGAGUAAAUCACGUAUUUUUAAUCAUGCCUACUAAAUGAGAGGAAAGUGUCAUAAGAGAAGCUGUAAAUUUGGACAAAAAUACAAAAUGUGGUGAAUGAUACACUAAUCAAUAUAAAAUUACAAUUUUAGAGACUAUUUAUCUAAUUUUUCUACUAGAAUUAAUGAGUUCUGUCUUUUAUUUUUGCUACAUAGUUAAUGCCUACUGAAGACUUAAAUGGCAAAAAUAAUUUCAUUUUAUAUCAGCUCUGUCGCUACUCUUCAGGCUUUUACAAGAUUCAGCUUAUUUUAUUGGAAAUAUUAGUAGUCCUUUCAUUAAUACUGUAAGAAAAGAGUUGCAGAACAUUUGUUCGUAGGCAUAAUUUUUGAUGUAUAGUUCCAGAUGUAAGGAAGCUGUAUUGUAUGUUCUGAGGUUUUCCUAUUGAGCAUUUCUGAAAUUUCAGAAAUGAGCACUGAGUAGGUCUAAAAGAUGCAGUAUGGGGUGCGUGAGAGAUAUUUUUGACACAAUAGGGUCAGAGAAGUUAAAGACACGUUCUUUGCUGGCAAUUUUGGCAGAAAUACUAAAACACAAUGUGGGUACUGCAAACCUUAUGACAUUCGGUAAAAUGUGAAAGGCUUCAGGUCUGUAAUAUAUGAUUUGAUGUCAUGUAUAUGGGUUGGUAGCUUUUGCACAAUAUAUAACAAAUCUCACUUUUUGUCUGAAGUUUGAAAAGAUUUUCCCAGUGUAAAUAACUCAUGCCUGAAGUACAGUGUGAAUUUAAAACCUCUUACUGUCCAAGUGUAAAAAAGCUCAUUCCAUGACGUUGCAAAUAAUUCAUUCUGUAUUCUUAGUUAUAUGGCUCCAUAUAAUGGUGUAAACCAUUAUGAGAAACAAACUUCUGGCAUCAAAAUGAGAGAUUUAUGAAGGCUACUUCCCCACUACAAAAGUAGGGAAUCAAUUACCCAGCCAUGUCACUGGAACUCGAUGUUCAGUCACAGUUCCCCAUUGCUGGAUCUUUUAUUUGCUGCUCUUGUGUGGGCUGCAAUAAAUAAAACAUGGUUAGACCUUUCUGCUUUUGCUAGUUGAGCUCCCCUGGCUUCCACCACUGGAAUGCAGGAUUGUAUCCUGGGAGGCAGCAGUGUAUUUCAGAAUUAGUUCAGAAAAAGGUCUGCAAGCCUUUCUGUGUAACAGUAUUUAUGUUGUACUCAACUGUGUUUGCUCUUAGGGGUGUGGGAAGGUGUGAGAUGGUGAGUCCAUUGUACUUAGGACACCUGUUUGAUCAGCAUAGGGACUGUCUGCAGUAGAGAAGUAAUCCAAACAUGCAGAAAGGCGAAAGCACCUAUGAACAGCUGUACUGGAUCUGGACAAAGCUAGAUCUGGGUCUGGAAACAGUGCAGGAAAGAGUGUAAGAAUUAGGUAAAGCCAGAGAAAAUUCAGCUCUGAUAUCAUUUUAAGAAUGAUGCACCAAAGCUCAGUGUGAAACCUUGUCAGAAGAGCAGUGAUGAAAUGACUGGGGCAUCUAACCUAUGUGUAGCAGCUGAGAGAACUGACACUGUUCAACCUGGAAAACUACUGAGUCCUUAUCACCUCUACUGUUAUACUUAGGUUAUUAACUAAAUGCUAGCUUUGACCAUGGCUAUGAUCUUUCAUCCCUCCAUCCUAUCCCACCUUUCUCUGCAUUUAUCCACUUUCCUCUUCAUCUGGUGUCUGAAAGCUCCAGCGCUUUAUCUCACUGCCAUCAUCUCUAAGUGAUGUGAGUCUUUGCCUUGUCUUUGUGAAGAUUAUCCCUUGUUCUCAGCUCUUCCUUGUUUUCUCAUGGGAAGCUGCAUGUAGAUGUGCUGGGAACUCAUGUGCCUGCUAAUCUGGGUGUCAUCAAUGCCCGCCAUUUUUAUGCACUUUCUUCUGCUCCUCUUUCUGACACUUCCACACUCAAAUAUGCCUCUGUUUUCUAUCCCCCCAAUCUUGGCUUACUAUUACUGGGCUCUCCACCACAGUCAUUUCAUAUACCCCAAUGUUCCUUCUGAGCUGAAGUUUGCUUCCAUAGUUUGCUAAAGUCUUUAUCCAUAAUUUGCUCAAGCAUACAUCCAUAUUCAUCGUUGAUAUACUUUUAUUUCCCCCCUUCUAGUAUGUCAAAUUGUUUUUUGAACAUAUUUAUAGUGGAGUACAUUUUUUCAUCCACAGCAUUGCAUGGUAAUCAAUUUACUAUAAAUCCUGUGGGUGAAAAAAAAUGCUUCAUUUCAUUUGUUUUACAGCUGCUGCCUAAGAGUUUGCUUUGGCAUCCCCAGGGUCUUAUUUUAGGAUAAAUAACAAGUAAUUAGCAAAUAUUAACCUUUCUAUUCCAGACACAAUUUGAAGUCUCUAUCUUCCACUAGUCAUUUCUUUUCAAAUCUGAAUAAUCACAGUUCAUUUCUCCUCUUCUCUUCCAAAUAUCAUUCCAUACUGUGAAUCACUCUUCUUGUUUUUCUCUGUCUUUCUUCUGCUCUGCUGAUUUCUGUGAUGUAGGAAGUAAAGGUGCGCACAACACAUACAACACGCAGAUGGGCCAAGGGAUUGAGCCACAGCUUGGUAUUGUAUCACUGCAUUGUUCUCUGUUUAUUUCUUAGCCAUUCUAAAAAUUCCAUUUACUUGUUUUGCCUGUAUUGAGCAACACUGUCUGAUGGAUGUAUCCACAAAAACUCCAGAAUCAUUUCCUGUGUUGUGUGAAUGUGUGAUUGAAGGAAUGUGCCUUUCCCCUGGAGUGGAAAGCCAAUAAGGCUGGUGGCUCCUGCAUUCAACAGAACUUUUUUGUAACUCAGUAGAAGCUGAAAAGGAAAUUGUGUCUCCUGUCCAAGCAAGCAUAAUCCUUUGAUGAGAAAACCUUGAUGGUAUUUUAGAAGAGGAAGAAAAUCCAUCUCUGCAGGGUCACUAGAGACUUCGGCUAUUACUAAUUGAUUCUACACGGAGAGCACACAGUGGGGACAGCCUUCAGUCUGAAGUGGUGAGACAAAGGACUUCCAACCUUCUUUGAAGUGUUGCGUGUGGAAGCUAUUGGAAGUGUAAAAAGUUUCUCUAUGCCUGCACAGGUCUUCUGUUGGGAGCGUAAGGAUGGGGACCUUGGGACACCUCUUGCGUGUAGCACUAAGCUCACCAUUUAAGGAGAGGGAGGGUGUUGAAGGCACUCAACCUGAUUUUUCUCAUCAGUUACAGAAAUAUUCUUGGUAUGGCAUGCAGUGCACCUCCUCAAGACUUUAUUUUCACUUAGAAAUUUAUCUAGCAGAACAACCAUGUAAAAGUGUAAAAUCAUCAUUUGUCCUCUCUGUUGCUGAUCGGUGAGAUCCCUGAUAAUGGGGAUUGUUAAUUCAAGCCUAUGUCCCAAGAAUGGGCAGCAUAAAGGUGGCAGGAGAAAAGCACCUUCUGGCAGCAGCAGAUGAUAUCUACGUGGCAGAGGUGAGCAUGCCAGCACAGAUACCUGGUCUGCAGCUUCAGCCACAACAGCCACCCAGGCAGCACAGUCUACUGCAGAGGCUGCCCCAGGCUUCAGCAGACGUAACUCAGGUUUAACAGUCUGCUCUUCUCAAGUCAAGUCUAGCUCUCUCUACUGACAUUACAGCUGGGACAGGAAAGGCUUCCCCACUCUGAUACAGUUCGCAGGAUCCCUUUAGUCUUCUCUUGUCCUUUUUGUAGCUUAAUGAGGAAGGGGAAGGAUUUCACUUUUUCUUGUAAGGUAAUGAUGUUAUUUUUCCUUGGGGAAAAUGUUGUAUACCUGCAUGUGGUUUGACGUAGCCUAGUACAGUUCAGUGAGAAAUUACUGUCCCCUAGGCAGCAUCUUUGUGAUCACUGAAGGAUGGGCACAAUCUCUGACAGCAGUGGUUUGCCAGAGAGGGGAGUUGAAGCCUACGUAUGUCACGAAAGCUGUAUCCCAUCUUCUUUACCCUCCUCUAGGUGCGCUAGCUGUACACUCCCAUCUAUGCCUCCACGAUGGAGUGGAAGGCUGGGGAUGCCAGAGCUGUCUCUCUCCUCCAGCAGGCCCAUUUGCUGCUGUAAUGUAAUGUGUUGUGACAGCUUUUUGCUGGGCUAGCAAAGAAAAUAAAUACUUUUAAGAAACUGCUGCUGAUCCAAGAGAUGAAACUGAGAAGCUGAUAAUAGUGAGUGGUUAUGAAAGGCAAAUGAUGGUAAUGCAGAAUCUUGGCAGGCUCCUCACAAAAGAAAACAGUACAUUCCUGGCACACCAGGUAACACUUCAGAGUUACUGCCACAAAAGUUUGACUAACUUCUAAAACACAAAUAACCAGCCACCCCACCUCAUCUUGAGGACCAGACAGCAAAACAAUUCAGAUGCCUUGUGCACUUUUAUGAUGGCUUCUGUAAGUAUUGAGUGAUCUCUUUAAUGAGAUCUGACCUUUAGGUUUGGAAUCUGCAUUCUUUCAUUACACUUGAAUUAUUCCAUGUAGAUUAUCUAGUACAGGCUACAAGCUCAGACCUUUUGUUCGUAUAACCUAAAUGUAUAAUUUGAGGGAAAUGUCAUGAAAUGUUGGGAGGCCUAUUAAAUGAACUCUUGCUCAAAAAUGGGGUUUGUGAGGAAGUGAAAUACUGAUUGAACUUAACAGCCUUGUGUGAUUUCAAAAUCUAGAUUUGAGCCUGCAUAUAAAAACAUUUGUCUUGGAUACACUCAGAGUUGAUUUUUAUUUUUUAUGAAUGGCAUGAUUUAAGAAGUUCUUUCUCAAUCAGUAGACUUGAAAAUAACCACAGUGGGCACAUCUCAGGAAUCCCAGGGUUCACCUAAAAGGUGUCUUCAGCAAUAGCUUUUUAAUUAUCCAUGCUCUGUGAUGAACCCUUCUAAGUUCUGCAGAGUGUGGAAAUUGUCAUGGAGAUAGCAGGUCAAAAAACAAGGUUUUCAAUGAACAGGAGAUGUUGACAUUCUUUGGUUUUAUUUUCCAGAAAUAAACACAGUAAAUAAAUAAAUAGUUUGCUGGAUUGAAAAGUCAUUAUUAUUUUUAUAUCUACUAAUAUUUUCAUUUGACUUCUGUAAAAAAAAAAUCCAGUCAUUUACAUAGCU
rnacentral:lncRNA from 1 species